rnacentral:rRNA from 1 species
CCUACGGGAGGCAGCAGUGGGGAAUAUUGCACAAUGGGGGAAACCCUGAUGCAGCGACGCCGCGUGAGUGAAGAAGUAAUUCGUUACGUAAAGCUCUAUCAGCAGGGAAGAAGAUGACGGUACCUGACCAAGAAGCCCCGGCUAACUACGUGCCAGCAGCCGCGGUAAU